AACGAACGCUGGCGGCAGGCCUAACACAUGCAAGUCGAGCGGACCUUUCGGGGUCAGCGGCGGACGGGUGAGUAACGCGUGGGAAUAUGCCCUUCUCUACGGAAUAGUCCUGGGAAACUGGGGUUAAUACCGUAUACGCCCUUUGGGGGUAAGAUUUAUCGGGGAAGGAUUAGCCCGCGUUGGAUUCGGUAGUUGGUGGGGUAAUGGCCUACCAAGCCGACGAUCCAUAGCUGGUUGGAGAGGAUGAUAAGCCACACUGGGACUGAGACACGGCCCAGAAUCCUACGGGAGGGAGCAGUGGGGAAUCUUAGACGAGGGGGGCAAACGUGAUAAAGCCAUGCCGGGUGAGUGAUGAAGGCCUUAGGGUUGUAAAGCUCUUUGAGAUGGGAAGAUAAUGACGGUACCAGCAGAAGAAGCACCGGCUAACUCCGUG
rnacentral:rRNA from 1 species